GGCCUGGUGGCCUAAUGGUAAGGGUAAGUUUAAUAUGCUCUGAAAACCUAGCUUUUCGUCCCAGGCUAACACUCAUAAAGCGUUGCUUUCCGGUUGGUGAACACUUGUGUUCGCCUUGGAAAUUGGCAAAGAUUGCGAGUUCGAGUCUCGUCUAGGUCG